GGGGCCGUAGCUCAGUUGGGAGAGCGCGACGUUCGCAAUGUCGAGGUCAGGGGUUCGAUUCCCCUCGGCUCCA
rnacentral:tRNA from 1 species